UGCCAGCAGCCGCGGUAAUACGAAGGGGGCGAGCGUUGUUCGGAAUUACUGGGCGUAAAGGGUACGCAGGCGGGACUUUAAGUCAGUGGUGAAAGCCUCCAGCUUAACUGGAGAAUUGCCAUUGAAACUGAAGUUCUUGAGUAUGGAUGAGGUGGUUGGAAUAUAACAUGUAGCGGUGAAAUGCAUAGAUAUGUUAUAGAACACCAAUUGCGAAGGCAGAUCACUAAACCAUUACUGACGCUGAGGUACGAAAGCGUGGGGAGCGAACAGGAUUAGAUA
rnacentral:rRNA from 1 species